rnacentral:rRNA from 1 species
UACCAGCACCCCGAGUGGUCGGGACGUUUAUUGGGCCUAAAGCAUCCGUAGCCGGUUCUACAAGUCUUCCGUUAAAUCCACCUGCUUAACAGAUGGGCUGCGGAAGAUACUAUAGAGCUAGGAGGCGGGAGAGGCAAGCGGUACUCGAUGGGUAGGGGUAAAAUCCGUUGAUCCAUUGAAGACCACCAAUGGCGAAGGCGGCUUGCCAGAACGCGCUCGACGGUGAGGGAUGAAAGCUGGGGGAGCAAACCGG